UACGGAGGAUCCAAGCGUUACUCGGAAUCACUGGGCGUAAAGCGCGCGUAGGCGGUCUCGUAUGUCGAUUGUGAAAGCCCCGGGCUCAACCUGGGAACUGCAGUCGAAACUGCGAGACUUGAAUUUUGGAGAGGUUGGGGGAAUACCUAGUGGAGAAGUGAAAUUCGUAGAGAUUGGGUGGAACACCAGAGGCGAAGGCGCCUGGCUGGCCAAACAUUGACGCUAAGGCGCGAAAGCGUGGGUAGCAAACAGG
rnacentral:rRNA from 1 species